GCUGCGGGGCUCGGGGCCGGGGCUCCAGGCUCCUCGGGGGGUGGUGGCGGCGGCUGCGGCUGCUCCACGCUCUUGUCCUCCUCCGACGACAUCCUAGUCACCAGGAAAGACACAUGGAUCCCGGUCCUCCUCCUGGGGGGCUCCCGCCGCCGCGGCCGCCGCCGCCGCCGCUGCUGCUCGGGUUCCUCCUCCCCGGCUCAGCCUCUCGCAUUUCCCGCAGCCCCGGGAGCAGCAGCAGACUGAGUCUCGCUCUGUUGCCCAGGCUGGAGUAUAGUGGUGCAAUCUCGGCUCACUGCAAUGUCCACCUCCCAGGUUCAAGAGAUUCUCGUGCCUUAGCCUCCCGAGUAGCUGGGAUAACAGGCACCCACCAUCACACCUGCCUAAUGUGUUUAUUUUUUUAAAAAAAGAAACUGUAUCUUUAGAGAAAAUGUAUACAUGCAUACUUUGCUACAUUUUUGUUGAUUGUUACAUUUUACAUUUGUAUAACAAUACAGGCAAGUCAUCUUUGCACUCAUAACCACAUCUUUUAUGGAACAUCAAGCCUACUCUGAGGUACAGGCUUUCAGAAGCCUGAAUUUGGAGGACCAUGCCUGAACCAAAUGGAGUCUCCAGAAUCAAAACUGCUCAAAAUAAUCAUUCAUGGUUCUCAGACCAAAUAAGAUCUACUUAGAAACAUUUCUCGACAGCACGCUGCCAUGCCGACGCAGACCCCACUCUGCACGCCAGCCCCCCUGCACCCACCAUGGCCACAGUUCAGCAGCUAGAAGGAAGAUGGCGCCUGGUGGACAACAAAGGCUUUGAUGAAUACAUGAAGGAGCUAGGAGUGGGAAUAGCUUUGUGAAAAAUGGGCGCAAUGGCCAAGCCAGAUUGUAUCAUCACUUGUGAUAGCAAAAACCUCACCAUAAAAACUGAGAGCACUUUGAAAACAACACAGUUUUCUGGUACCCUGGGAGAGAAGUUUGAAGAAAACACAGCUGAUGGCAGAAGAACUCAGACUGUUUGCAACUUUACAGAUGGUGCAUUGGUUCAGCAUCAGGAGUGGGAUGGGAAGGAAAGCACAAUAACAAGAAAACUGAAAGAUGGGAAAUUAGUGGUGGAGCGUGUCAUGAACCAUGUCGCCUGUACUCGGAUCUAUGAAAAAGCACAAUAAAGAUUCCAUCAUCACUUUGGACAGGAGUUAACCAAGAGAAUGACCAAGCUCAGUUCAAUGAACAAAUCUCCAUACUGUUUCUUUCUUUUUUUUUUCAUUACUGUGUUCAAUUAUCUUUAUCACAAACAUUUUACAUGCAGCUAUUUCAAAGUGUGUUGGAUUCAUUAGGAUCAUCCCUUUGGUUAAUAAAUAAAUGAGUUUCUGCUAAAAAAAAAAAAAAAAAAAA
ensembl:lncRNA FABP5P3 fatty acid binding protein 5 pseudogene 3